rnacentral:rRNA from 1 species
AUUGAACGCUGGCGGCAGGCCUAACACAUGCAAGUCGAACGAGUGGCAGACGGGUGAGUAAUGUCUGGGAAACUGUCUGAUGGAGGGGGAUAACUACUGGAAACGGUAGCUAAUAACGCAUAACAUCAGUUGUGCCAAGAUGGGAUUAGCUUGCUGGUGGGGGAACGGCUCACCAAGGCGACUAUCCCUAGCUGGUCUGAGAGGAUGAACAGCAAGAAUGGAACUGAGACACGGUCCAGACUGCGACGGGAGGAAGAAGUGGGGAAGAGGGCACAAGGGGCGCAAGCCUGAUGCAGCCAUGCCGCGUGUAUGAAGAAGGCGUUCGGGUUGUAAAGUACGUUCAGCGGGGAGGCGUUACCCGCAGAAGAAGCACCGGCUAACUCCGUGCCAGCAGCCGCGGUAAUAC